AUCUAGCUACGGAAUCCGGUCGAGAUGGACAUGUGACCCUCUCUUGGCCAAUCAGAGGCUUUCCUGCUGGAAGGGCUGCUGGAAGCCAUCUUCGCACGGUUCUUCCCUUGGCUUUAGAGCCCCGAAGCGCUCUUUGACUUGAGCUGCUUUGCAUUCUCUCUGUCCUGCCAUCGAGAAAGUUCUGAGCGGCUCAGAAGUAAUACUGACACUAAAAUGAGAGAAUGGAGCUGGGCGCAGUGGUUCACGCCUGUAAUCCCUGCACUUUGGGAGGCCGAGGCAGGCAAAUCACCUGAGGUCAGGAGUUCCAGACCGGCUGGGCAACAUGGUGAAACCCUGUCUCUACUAAAAAUAUGAAAAAAAGUUAGCCAGGCGUCCGCGUGCCUGUAAUUCCAGCUACUCAGGAGACUGAGGCAGGAGAAUCGCUUGAACCUGGGAGGCAGAGGUUGCAGUGAGCCGAGAUCACGCCACUGCACUCCAGCCUGGGCGAUAAGAGUGAAACUCUGUCUCAAAAUAAAUAAAUAAAUAAAUAAAUAAAUAAUCUUAAAAAAAAUAAAAAGAAAACUAGAGAAUGAUGACUUCUGUUUACCAUGUGCCUGGUUUCCUGUCCUGUCUGUGAUCCUGUUGCUGUUUGCUGUCAACUGUUCCUGCUUCAGUGAUAUUAGAAGGGUUCAAGGAGAAUGUGGGUCCCCUCCUUGCCUGCUCUGGGCCUUCCCCUGUUUCUGGCCUGUUUCAUCUCCACCCCCGUUGGAUCUGAGCUCCUUGAGGGUGGCCCCUACACCCUGCAGUGCUGAGCAUUGGGAGGUGUGAGGGUUGCUGAAGGCUGGGGGUUGGUGCUUUUCUUCAUUCAGCAGUCAUCAUUUAUUGAGCACCCACUGUUUGCCAGCUCCUUGGCUAAGCAUUUCAAGCCCUGUUCCAUGGGCUCAGUCUUCCAGGGGCUGGCCGCUAACUACGCAUCGAUUGAUUUCCAGAAGGACAGAAGCACAUAGCAGGGCCUGGUCUCCACUGGGGGUGCCAGGAGCUG
rnacentral:lncRNA from 1 species